rnacentral:rRNA from 1 species
CAUUAACGAAUUUAUAAUCCGGCGAGGGGAAGGACGAGAGUUGUCGCUGGCCUUUCGCGAGGCAUGUGCACGCUUUCUUCUGGACUUUCGCCGUAUGGGCGCGGGGCCACCCGCGUCUUCAUGCACCUCUUCGUGUAGAAAGUCUUUGAAUGUUAUACCAUCAUCGAGUCGCGACUUCUAGGAGACGCGAUUCUUUGAGACAAAAGUUAUUACAACUUUCAGCAACGGAUCUCUUGGCUCUCGCAUCGAUGAAGAACGCAGCGAAUCGCGAUAUGUAAUGUGAAUUGCAGAUCUACAGUGAAUCAUCGAAUCUUUGAACGCACCUUGCGCUCCUCGGUGUUCCGAGGAGCAUGCCUGUUCGAGUGUCAGUAAAUUCUCAACCCCUCUCGAUUUGUUUCGAGCGGACGUUUGGAUAGUGGGGGCUGCCGGAGACCUGGAUUUAUUUCAGGACUCGGGCUCUCCUGAAAUGCAUCGGCUUGCGGUCGACUUUCGACUUUGCANGACAAGGCCUUCGGCGUGAUAAUGAUCGUCG